GGGGCUUGUUUGUAAGUAGAAAGUGGGGCAGUGGGGCAGCAGGGUCUACUUUAAGCAGACUGCUUCUCAGCACCUCUCACUUGAAAGCUUGCCCUUCUUUUAGCUGGUUUUAGAGCUGGUGAGAAACUGUGUUUUUGUGGAAAAUGGCAGAUGGGAAAUGAAUUUAUUGACGAAUCUAACUGCUGUUUAAGGACCAUGCAGGAUAUUACCUGAAUCCCACAGGACACUUAGUGACCAGUGGGACCAUAGAAACUGAGGCACAACCAUGGCAAUGGAGAUGCAGGAGAGGGUUUAUGUACUGGCGUUUGUUACUGUGGUCGUCUGGAUCCAACUACAAGCUCAUAUUCGGAGCUGGAACAAAGCUGAUCGUUCAAUCCAAGCAUGAAGAGCCUCCUCAGUAUUACAAGUUUAAGGAUGAUAACAUUUGUCUGGCCACUGGCUUCACAAAAAAAAGUGGCACCGAUGACUCUUUGGAUGGUCCAGAACCUGUCCUGUUUUCCAAAGAGUCAUACUACAGCAGGGUUUCAACAAAUUAUACAAAAUGCGAAGAGCCAACAGCACCAUGCACUGAAGAGGACUUAGAUGUAGAGUUUGAUGGCAAUGCGAAGACCAACUUCUUGACAUUGAGCAUAUUUUGGCUGAGGGUUCUCUUCUUGAAGACCAUCGCAUUCAACAUCCUGAUGACUCUGAAAGUGUGGAUGAGCUAAAGAGCUAAAAUCCAACAAGCAAGGAUACCAGAUCUGGAUUGGAUCAUGUCUACUGGCCUUGACCCUAAAGAAGAGGCUCGCUUUGCCACACCAAGACCAUGAAAGCCAUCAGUAGACGCAUACUCACAACAUACAACCUUCUCAGCUGUAUUAUACUGCAGUUAUUUCUGAAAAUGCUUUGAUUUGAAUCCAUCUUCUCCAUUGUGAUUAUGCAGACUUUCAUUUUUCUUUGAAAUUCAUAUUCUGUAUUAUUAUCACAUUAAGUUUCAAUGGCUGGUAUUACAAAAACAUAUGUUUCUAUCUUUUUUUUUUCUUUUUUACAUAUAUUGUAACACAGUUUAUACACACAGUUAGUACACAUUUUAUAGUCUUCUAUAGUUUUUGCAUACCUUUUCUCAGUUGCUGAUUUUGUAAUCGUGUUAGUUAGUUAACUUUAACCAAUUGUUAACAGUGACCGUCCUAUUUGAAUGUAUGCUUCCUGUUAAUUGAGGGCGUAGUAUGUAAUCUUUGAACAUAUUCCUUAUAUACGUGUUGCCUUGAAUUCAAAUAUGCUAUGUUGCAGAAAAUAAUAAAAAUAAAAAAACUGAAUUUA